rnacentral:rRNA from 1 species
UACGAAGGGGGCUAGCGUUGUUCGGAAUUACUGGGCGUAAAGCGCGUGUAGGCGGUGCUUUAAGUCAGGGGUGAAAUGCCAAGGCUCAACCUUGGAACUGCCUUUGAUACUGGAGACCUUGAGUCCGGGAGAGGUGAGUGGAACUGCGAGUGUAGAGGUGAAAUUCGUAGAUAUUCGCAAGAACACCAGUGGCGAAGGCGGCGCUCUGGACCGAGACUGACGCUGAGGCGCGAAAGCUAGGGUAGCAAACAGG